GUGCCUCCCGUACGUGGGACCCAGGCUCUGAGCAGCCGGCCUCCAGUCGGCUGGCCCAGGCCGACUGGGCCUAAUCAGCUUCGGUCAGGCCGAUUGGGCCUAAUCGGCCUAGGCCAGGCCGAGACCGUAUUAUUUUUGAAAUUUUUGAAAAACACGUAUUAUUUUAAAAAAUGAUUAAAAAAUCGUAUUAUUUUAAAAAAACUAGCUACUUCCUCUGGGGCCGAGAGGAACCAGGGCUUGACUGCUUGGCUUCAAAAGUGAUUUUGGUUGUUAAAUAGCAGAGCCAUUUAAAAGCAACAUGCCAUGUUUCCUAAAAAAUAUUUCCAAGCACUAGAGGAUAGUGCAAAUGAACUUCGAAAUUUGAAUCCAGAAAAAUAUGCAAUGUGUCAAAGCUAAUGUAUAGUAAAAAAAGAAUAUGAGAAAGAAAUAUCCAAGAGCAAUUAUAACAGAAUGAGCUAUCAGAUAAGAACAAUAGAAACAUAUGAGAUAAUUUGGAACACCGCAACACCGUUCGUACCAACAGAUAAAAAAAUCCAUGGAAAAUGCACUAAGAAAAUCCUUGACAACAAAGAAAAUGACAAAUAAAAAAUGUAUUUCAUUAGCUAAUUUGACACUAUCAAACUACAAUUCCAAUGCUAAUUAUAGGAUUUAUAGGUUUUACCAUGACGGCUGUAGCCUACAGUAAAUGAGCAACAUAACAAGUUCAGAAUUCACAGUAAGAAAUAAACCAUGACCGAUGAUUGGUAUUUUAGGCCGAAAAAUGUUCUUAAUUUACCUCGGGCUUCGAUUCUGAUCCCCUAGAGGUUCGUACCGAUAUUGCGGACGUAGUCGUAAAGGCAUUUUCACAUCAAAAACGUUGUUAUCACGGGAUUACAAGCGUUGCGGUUAAUUCAUCAUUGAGUCACUGGUAUAGGUGGCCAACGGGAUGGGCCUUUUGGCCAAGC
rnacentral:lncRNA from 1 species